AUUCCAUGUUGAGGGCACUUCUGUAAUAACUCUUUGUACCUUUCCCAUGCCUCAUACAAGGACUUGUCGUCCAUUUGUUGGAAAGUAGUGAUCUCGUUCCUCAACUU
rnacentral:snoRNA from 1 species